UGAGAUGGGGGGACCCUGCUCCGCCCCUCCGCGUGUGCGAUGAAGGCCUUCGGGUUGUAAAGCACUCUUGGCAGGAAAGAAAUCGCACAAAUUAAUACUUUGUGUGGAUGACGGUACCUGCAGAAUAAGCACCGGCUAACUACGUGCCAGCAGCCGCGGUAAUACGUAGGGUGCAAGCGUUAAUCGGAAUUACUGGGCGUAAAGCGUGCGCAGGCGGUUCGGAAAGAAAGGUGUGAAAUCCCAGGGCUUAACCUUGGAACUGCACUUUUAACUCCCGAGCUAGAGUAUGUCAGAGGGGGGUGGAAUUCCGCGUGUAGCAGUGAAAGGGGUAGAUAUGCGGAGGAACACCGAUGGCGAAGGCAGCCCCCUGGGAUGAUACUGACGCUCAUGCACGAAA
rnacentral:rRNA from 1 species